UACAGAGGGGGCAAGCGUUGUUCGGAUUCACUGGGCGUAAAGGGUGCGUAGGUGGCCGGGUAAGUCUGACGUGAAAUCUCCGAGCCUAACUCGGAAACUGCAUCGGAUACUAUCCGGCUUGAGGGUUGGAGGGGGGACUGGAAUACUUGGUGUAGCAGUGAAAUGCGUAGAUAUCAAGUGGAACACCAGUGGCGAAGGCGAGUCCCUGGACAACUCCUGACACUGAGGCACGAAAGCUAGGGGGAGCAAACAGG
rnacentral:rRNA from 1 species